CCGCGCUCCCUCCGCGUUAACUCAUCGCCCUGUCGCGCCCGCUUCUCCAGCGGGUUCGGCGGUCGGGGGAGGACAGUGAUCGAGUUCGAAGUUCGGAGGGUCUCUGCGUCUCUGGGGUUUCUAUCACUGCUCCUUCCAGCCCUCAAGCGGCUACUCCGAAGAAUGACGAAGGGCCCUACUUGCGUAGAUUCGUGGGAUGAUUUUACCAAGAAGGAAAAGGGGGAAAAGAAAUCACAAUUAUUGAGGGUCCAGCCUUGGUCAGAUUCCGUGUCAGACCCUUCCAACUUGACAUUAUUGACUCUUCACAACUCUUCAUUUUGUAGUCCAGGAAGCAGGCUCCGAGAGACUGCCUAGAAAAAACAGCACCCGGAUCUGAAUUCGAGGCCGUCCCACACCCAUCCCGGUACGGUUCCCAGCAGAACUGAGCUGGAGUGGCCCUGAUGCAAAUGAACUUAGAUCCCAGCUGCUUGUGAUGGAAGCCAAUCCCAGCUUUCCCAAGCUUACAGGUUUUUUCCAGAAGAAGCCAACUUGAUCUCCCGGAACACGAAUUCAGCAGGCUCUCAUCUCAGAACUGCCUCCAAUCCAUCCCAUACCCCUUCACACUUCAGUCCUUGGUAUUUUCUCCGAUCACACCUUCCACUCCUCCUUCAUAUUUGCAAGUCUCUCCCUGCAGAAUCUGCCCCGAGGAGCAAAGGACAUUUUUCCAUGGGGAACAGAAUUUUAGAAUUUCCCUUUGUACCCAGUGAGAAAGACUAAAGUUUGGUAUAGGAAAUAACCCAAAGACAAAUCUAUACACUGCAUAGAACACAGGAAGCCUGGGCUCUGAAAACAUAAAAGACACCAAAUCAUUCCUGGAGCACUUGUGAAGUUUUGGAAAAUUCCUUUAACCUCUCUAAACCUCAGUCUCCUCAUUUGUAAAAUGAACAUAAUAAAUAUUUUUUCUUGCCUAUGUCAAUGGCUUCCUGAUUUCCAAAUGAAAAAAAAAGCAAUUGGAAUUCUUUGAAAAUAAGAAAGCAUUUAAAGCAUAAGCCAUAUAAGAAAUCCAGUGCCUAACCUCCCUUGUGGCCAGUGAGGAACAAAGCUCUGGAAUUUUUACACAGAUUUCUAUUUCCCUGUGGAAGCACUGGAAAGGAAAUGUCAUUCUCACUUUGAAGAGGAAGAGGGAUGCAGCAAGGUAAUAAACGCUUUCUAAAUAAGCACGUUGAUUCAAUGCUUUUCAUUUCUCUUCAGAGGAAACCCUGUUAUUG
rnacentral:lncRNA from 10 species